GAUCGAGUUGUAAUUUGAAGAUGGCGUUUUCUGUGUUUCUGAUCAGUCCAAGUCCUUUGGGAUAAGGCAUCAUGGAGGGUGAGAAUCCCGUUCGGUUGAUCAGAUUCGCUUUACGAGACAUCACAAAGAGUCAAGUUGUUUGGGAUUGCAGCUUAAAAUGGGAGGUAAAUUUCUUCCUAAGGCUAAGUAACGGCGAGAGACCGAUAGCGAACAAGUACC
rnacentral:rRNA from 1 species